AGACUGAUUUAUUAUACACCACUGACCACCUACCAGAUGAUUACAUUAAUAAGAGUGAAUUGAGCCCCACGUCAGUCAGACCUGCUUUUUAUACCAGACCCCAUCUCCUUCUAAUGAAGCAGAACUCGAGUGAACCAUCAGCGGGGCAUAAAAUUCACGGCAGCCUACAAAAACAAACAGCCCAAAUGAAAUAAAGACAUUACUGUGAUUUCACUUGGCUGCCUUUUAAUUUAGGAAUAAAAGCCCAAAGCAGAUCAAAACUUCCACUGAAGACCUCAAGGCUCAGGCAGCACUUAGACACCCUUUAGCAUGUCUGUGCUGCUUCCUGUCCCUGUCCCUGUCCCUGUCCCUGAGGUUAAACCACUCAUGUCACUGAUACCUAACUCUGUCAUGGAUGAGCUCUGUUUCUGCUUUAGGUAUAAAUCCUCUUCUCAUAUUUAGCAGUUUAUUUUAAACUAACAGGAAUAAAGGAGGUUCCUCGUGCUGUUGCUGGUCCUCAUGUCAUCUAGGUGUCUUCACUAUUUCUACUCACCAGGAACAAUCUCCUUUUGUUCCUCUACAUUAUGAGACAUUCAGGAGCUUGCAGGAGAGAAAAGCUGCACCCAGCGUCACUCGUCCUCUCCUGAUUAUUCCACCUGGGACUCGUUAGCUUAAUUAAUCUCGUCUUGUCCUUCCCUCAUGUCCUGUGGGAACAUUUGGGAUGAUGAAAAUUCCCCAUUAUUCCAGCUGGAUGGAGCUCCUGCCUUUUCACAGAUAUUCUGUUUGUGAGGUUUUCAGGAAUGCGAGUGGUAUCCGUCGUUAAUGAGCCGUCAGCGUUUACCUGUCACUGUGACACAUCUACAGAACUCCGUCACGCUGGAAUCUCUUCAGGAAUAAACGCCUGUGCUGUUGCAGAAGUCCCUGUAGCCUCCUGGGGCAGAUGGAGACUUUUGGAGGAUAAUUAAAAACUGAAAUGUAACUGUGAAUGAAAUCUUCAGCUUAUUGCACAUGUGUCCAUCUGCCCUGGACAUCAGCAUCAUCAUCAGCUUCAUCGUAUCUUCGUAAACUUCCUGCAUCACUCACAAAAUGCUGCGUUACAUUUCAUGUCUCUAAUUACAUCAAGCCCAGGUGU